CGUUGUGGCCGAGCGGUCUAAGGCGGGAGACUCAAGUUCUCUUCAUCUUCUGAUGGCGAGGGUUCGAACCCCU
rnacentral:tRNA from 14 species